GUUAGGAUAAGAGGGCGGUCUCUGGCUCACGGUGGGCUGGAGAUACCCAUCACAACUAGGCCUUGAUUUAAAUCAUUACAAGCUUGGUAUUAGAUCAUCAUUUAGGCUUAUUAGGUGUCCAUAAUGCCGUGUUGAGUAGAGUUUAUUUGAUUGGUGUGUAGUGCACCAUACUUACAAGGAGGAGGCUACAAGAUAUUUAACAAUGUUUCCCUUUCUU
rnacentral:lncRNA from 1 species